rfam:Schistosoma mansoni strain Puerto Rico chromosome 7, complete genome
AUCCAGCUGACGAGUCCCAAAUAGGACGAAACAAGCUUCCUGAAU